AUAGCGCGAGAAAAACGCGCCAGAAGUUCUAGAUUUUCCCCUCAAAUCAAACUGCGCGCUUUUUACGCAGAGCAAAACUUUCUUGUAUUCAGCGCCCUCUUGCGACGCUGGAGCUUGUUCCAUUAUGCGACAGAGGCGGAUAAUAGCCACGGAGAAUCGCCUUUGUUGCACAGCGCUUCAGCGGAAUACUGUGCUUGUACAAUAGUGAAAAUCGAUUCAAAUAUCGCAAUAGACUUAUUUUGUUGUAAUGAAAACUUAACUAUUUAAUAAUCAUGAUUUUUUAUUAACUUUAAUGGUGAAACAAAAUAAUUAAAUGCCUAAUUACAUUGCACUGCAUAUACAUCGCCACGGCGAAUUCUUCCCUCGGGAUAGAGAAGAGAACAUUGUGAAGUGGACUAAAUGAAAGAUAUACAGUGUAUGGGACCAAUACAGCAAUUGAGAAGAGAACAGUCAAAUGUAUCAAUCCCAUGACUAGAAUCUCAAUGGUUCUUCGCGAAAGUCAAGCAAGAUUGGAUUAGGAUAUAAAAUGAAUAAAUGCUACAUGGUAUUUUAUCCGUCAUUAAACUGCGGCCAAGCUGGGGCACAACCUUGAAGAAUUUGUUGUUGAAUGAAUCCACACAGCCACACUUGAGCCUGUAUGACUCUAUUGGAUAUUUAGCUUCUUAACGCGGCAUGCCACUUUAUUCAUUCGUUUGAAUUUAUUUCCCGAAAAAAUAUUGUGAUAUACCAUCCAGUAACGCUCGUUUCAAGGGGUAUGGAUUAUUGAUCACUCUGAGGGUGGAUGUCUAAGCGAUGAAUGCAUAAGAAUAGCGGAAUACAUGUUUCUAUUGUUAAGAAUAAUUGUCCACCCUAUAGUAUAUUGAAUCGCAACGCAGUCAAGCUAGACCAGUGGUUCUCAACUAUUGUCCAUAUAAGAUUUUUGGGGUCUACACAAGCAAAGUAGUAAUUUUGGGAUUCUCAUUAGUAUUUUAAGUGUCCAUGAAAGCAAUUUUGCUUUAGGUGUAUUCAUUGCAAGAAACAACUAGGUUUUUUUUUCUCUAACAUUUUACAUUUCUAUCUUUGAGGACAAAUGUGUAGCAAUAAUCUAAUGUAAACUUGGAGUGGGAAAUCCUAUUGAAAACUUUUCCCAUUUAAUAAGAUCAUAGUGGCAGAAAAAUUUAAAAACUAUGGCAGUAAACAACCUUUGUUUAUGGGUAUUGGAAAAUUAGAUAUACAUCCAUGGAAUAUGAUGAUCUGUAUCACAUAAUGAAACGACAAAAAUGGAAGUUGCCAAGUAGUUUAAAUUAAUUUCUUUGAUCGAGUAAUACUUUGAUCCUCAGUAAUACUUCAAUAAUUUUUGGCACAAAGGCAGCGAUUUGGGGGAGGGUGUAAGUCGAUGAUAUCAACGUCAGUGCUCAAUUGGUACUUAUAUAAUAGGCCACGAAAGGAUGAAAGGUAAAGUUGACCCUGACGGUACUCACUACUUUAUGUUAGUUUCAAAUUUUGUCACAAGGCCAUCGAUUCCAUUGUUCAACCGAUACUUAUUUCAUCGACGCCGAUUUGAUGGAAGACAAAGUCGACCCUGGAGGUACUCACUACUCAAAUAUUAAGAAUAAGAAUGAACAACAUAGAUAACAAAUAUCCGGCGUAUUUUUUCUGACUAGUCUGAUUUACUCUGCUUUUAUAACAAGACAAGUAUGAUGUUGUGAAUCACCCGAGUUAAUAGUUUAAUAUAAACACAUCACAGCCAAUAGCCAAAAAUUCUAGAGUUAUGGUUUAGUGAGUUAUUUCGAACACUACGAGAUCAGAUUUGCUUGAGUAUGUUAUUAAUAUGAAUUUAGAAAACCUACAUUUCAGUCUUUGAGGACAAAUGUAUGACAAUAAUCUGAAGUGAUCAAAUUGGAAAAUUAGAUAUAUAUCCAUAGGAUGUGACGAUCUGUAUCACACAAUGAAACGAGGAAAAUGGAAGCUGUAAGGUAAUUUAAAAUAAUUUCUUUGAUCAAGUCAGUUCCUUGACCUAAACGCAUAAGUUAAUGCCUCGUAAUAACCCCGUACGGCUGAAACUGGAAAACUAUUUCUGCAAAUAUUUUUCUAAAUAAUAGAAAAAUUUUUUACACCAACGUGGCUAGAAAAACUCAAGCAACAGAUUUACAACUCAUUAAUUCUAUGCCAAAAUAUGUUCCUGAUAUUCGGGUAGCCCUAGUAAUAGCAAAAAAUUAUUAAUAC
rnacentral:lncRNA from 1 species